rnacentral:rRNA from 1 species
UACGGAGGAGUGCAAGCGUUAUUCGGAAUCACUGGGCGUAAAGGGCGNGUAGGCGGCUUGAUAAGUUAGAUGUGAAAGCCUUCUGCUUNACGGAAGAAUUGCAUUUGAUACUGUCAGGCUUGAGUUCGAGAGAGGGUAGUGGAAUUCCCAGUGUAGCGGUGAAAUGCGUAGAUAUUGGGAAGAACACCAGUAGCGAAGGCGGCUACCUGGCUCGUAACUGACGCUAAUGCGCGAAAGCGUGGGGAGCAAACAGGAUUAGAUACCCUGGUAGUCCACGCUGUAAACGAUGGAUACUANAUGUUGGUGCCGAUUCGUCGGUAUCAGUGUCGGAGCAAACGCAUUAAGUAUCCCGCCUGGGGAGUACGAUCGCAAGGUUGAAACUCAAAGGAAUUGACGGGGGCCCGCACAAGCGGUGGAGCAUGUGGUUUAAUUCGNUGCAACGCGAAGAACCUUACCGGGGUUUGACAUCAUGGCGGCGCAUGUAGAGAUAUCUGUUCCCUUCNGGGCGCCAUGACAGGUGCUGCAUGGCUGUCGUCAGCUCCGUGUCGUGAGAUGUUGGGNUUAAGUCCCGCAACGAGCGCAANCCCCUUGGUC